GCCCGCCCUUGCACACCUCUUCCUCUUUUCUCGUCGGCCGGAGCAAGGCACCAGAGAAGCUUUAAUGGGGGCUUGUUUGUUCUUUCUGAAUCUGCACCUGUACUGCACGUCUGCAGCAUCGUCCGCCCCCGUCGUCAUCAUGGCAACGCUCUCGCUCGCUGCAAGGGGGUUGGAGUGCUGCAAAAGCCCCUUCUUUUGGCGUAUCAUUGUCUUGGACGAGUUCGAAGCGAAUGCAUGCAUGAGGGCUCAGGUUCUCAAUAGCCGUUUCUGGUGCUCCUCUGAUGCUGCUACUAGCAACAGGCGGCAGCAGCACCACUCAUGUUGCGUCUGGAUCGUUUCUGGCUUUAGCCUACAGCCUACUCUACUACAAGCCAAGAAUAAUUCUUCUCAACCAAGAGCAGCAGGACAGCUGCUGAGGCUAACGAAAACUAGCAAAGGAUGUAGGAGUAUGCUG
rnacentral:misc_RNA from 1 species